CAACCCAAACCCUCCUCCGGGAGCCCGCGCUGGGAUCCGCGGGUGGCUCUGCCGAAGGUGUUCCCUCCCCGGCUGCCAGCUCGGCUCCGGGAAGGACCCGCCUUCUGGCUGCUUUCACACGCCUGAGAAAGAACGAGCGGUGGUAUUUGGGUCUUGCCUCUUCCCCCAGCCAUAUCGUAUAAUAGGCUUUUUAGAACCUGCUGCUUAGGAUCCAAAUUUAUGGCCUGUUUUUAGAAAGGAUGGGCUAUUAUAGAACUGAUUAUGCAUUUGCAUAUUCAUCAGCCAUAUAGAGGAGGUAAAGAGCUGGGAAGGGAAAGAAGAAAUGAAUGGUCAAUAGAGAAGGCUUCGAGAUUAAAAGGUCUAUUUAUUUUUUACAGCAGAAGCUAAAAAAAGGACUGUGCACAAAUCCCCACCCCCCAUUCCUUUUCACAGCGAUUGCUCAUGGGCCACUGCCUCCCCUUGUGUUCCUCUGCACUGUGCUCCUCACACAUGGUUCUUGCACAUUCACUCACCAGUGCUCUUGCUCUGAUCCACACCCACGUGUGUGCACGAGCCCGGAGAAAACCCCCUCCCUCACUUCCCCAUUUUUUUGUACUCCGUGCCUUCUUUCCUCUUUGACCACACGUGCCACAUGAUGAACCUGUUUUUGACAUGGUACAAUUAAAAACUCACAUUAAUGAUAAGCUCUUGGCCUAAUUCUGUGUUUUUUUAUUUGUCAAAACCCAGCAUGCAGUCCUGGGAUUGCUCUUCUGUCUUAACACUUCACUGCCCAGAGGCUGGAGGCCCAAUUACAAAUCCUAAAAGGGAUGAAGACAAGGAAGCAAACUUGGGAGAUAGAGAACACAUAGUCAAAGCCUCAGAGAAAAAAAAAUACUGUUAAAAAUUCCUGCAAGCCAACAGGCAAGUUUGCUUCAGGUAUAUAGUUAAAUGUGUCUCACAUGUGGAAAAUUGAGGUUAGAGCAAUCCUAGGUAAUAACAUUUGCUGAAGAAAUGUUUCCCUGAAAUCUUUGCACCAGGUAAGAAAAUUCUUUUUGGGUAUUAAGUCCAGCUUUAAAAUAGGAUUAUUUUUUUCAGUCUGCGUGGUUAGAAGAAUUUAUUGGAGCAAAGGGAGCACAAAUGGGGGAUGGUAUGUCAUGUUGAAGAAUAAGAUAUGUCUGCUGAUGUAUUCUACUCCAACUUAUGUUUUUACUGCAAGUAUUAGCUCUGUACAGUUAAAGCAGGAUAGGUUCAAUUCUUUAUUAGUCUCUUCUACCACUGGAGAGGGAGGAUGUUCUUGCACUCUAGGGAAAUGUGGAAGAUAACUCUGUGACUGUAGAUGAGCAUCUAUUCUGGUAAAUCUGUAAAUGAUGCCUAGCAUUACAUUUAUUUCAGAAUUUCCUGCCUCAUGAAUCUGCCAGAUGCCAGGGUCUCCCAGGUCUGCUCUAACUGCGUGAAGGCACAGAGGCCUCGCUGUCAGUGCGCUUCCUUCUGCUGUUUGGGACCACAAAAAGAAGCAUUUCUGAAAUGUACUGCAGUGGUUUUUUAGUUUCCAGGAGCCAAAAGAGGAAAAGAGCUUUUAUCUGAGGAGGUACCUGAAGGUAGUAUUGAGAUAUCUUGACCUUUCUUUAGUUCAGCUCCCAGACCUGAUAAUAACCAUGUUUUAGCUGUGUGAGGCUGCAGGCCCAGCUUACUGGAGAUGUCUCUGCUGCUUUGACACUGUGCUGGGGCCUUUCCCACUUUUUAGUAUUCUGGGUCCUGGGACCACAGUGAAGCUGAAUAAUUCAAAACAGGAGGAGUUGCCUUGUUUUCUUCCAUGUUAGGCUUCUAAAUUUGUCUGUUGAGUUUUCCUGCGUUGGUUACAUCACGGUAUCACUGGUGUAAAAAAUGUUUCUUCAUUUGUUAACAGUGAGCAUAAAUGCUUCUUUUGGGGAGUGUAUUUCUUUGUCUUAAUUUCAAAAAUGGAAUAAAACCCUUUAAUGGCAUGGUUA